rnacentral:lncRNA from 1 species
UUUUCUUUUGUUGGUAUGUGAAGCUAGGUGGUAUAAAUUUAGCAACAAUAUAAUUAGCAUAAUCAGCAUACCAUGGAGUACUACGAGAAGUACUUAUAACAUUUAAUUGUUCAUCAGGAAAGCUAUCAUUAAUAGGUAGUGGGUCAUCAAGAAUAUUUUCUAACCUAGACAGGUUGUCUGCAACGGGGUUCUCAGCUCCCUUUCUAUCAACAAUAUGCAAAUCAAAUUCUUGUAGCAAGAGAACCCCUCUAAUUAGUCUAGGUUUAGCAUCUUUCUUUUCCAUAAGAUAUUUAAUAUCAGCAUGAUCUGUUUGAAUAGUUACUUUAGAAUCAACAAUAUAAGAUCUGAACUUAUCACAAGCAAAUACAACUGCUAAGAGUUCUUUUUCAGUAGUAGCAUAAUUUCUUUGAGCAUUGUCUAGAGUCUUACUAGCAUAAUGAAUAACAUUUAAUUUCUUAUCAACUCUUUGCCCUAGACCAGCACUAGCAUCACACAUAAUUUCAAAGGGUAGGUUCCAAUCAGGUGGCUGAACAACAGGUGCAGAGACUAAUGCUUUCUUAAGUAUUUCAAUGCUUCUACACAAUCAUCAUCAAAGACAAAUGGUAUAUUUUUGGCAAUAAAUUAGUCAGAGGCCGAGAAAUUUUUGAGAAGUCCUUAAUGAACCUCCUAUAAAAUCCAGCGUGACCAAGGAAACUUCUUAUACCUUUGAUGUCCUUGGGACAUGACAUCUUUUCAGUAGCAUCAACCUUGGCUUUAUCAACUUCAAUACCUCUUUCAGAAACUUUGUGCCCCAAGACAAUACCUUCAUUAACCAUAAAGUGGCACUUUUCCCAAUUCAAGACAAGAUUAGUUUCUUCACAUCUCUGCAAAACUCGAUCAAGAUUGCUCAAGCAAUCAUCAAAAGAGGAACCAUAGACGGAAAAGUCGUCCAUGAAAACCUCACAAAUCUUUUCACAAAAGUCAAGAGAAUAUAGCCAUCAUGCAUCUUUGAAAGGUAGCAGGUGCAUUACAUAAACCAAAAGGCAUACGUCUAUAAGCAAAAGUACCAAAAGGGCAUGUAAAAGUAGUCUUUGAUUGAUCUCUAGCCGACAUAGGUAUUUGAGAGAAACCAGAAUAACCAUCUAGAAAGAAAUAGUGUGUAUGUUUGCAUAAUCUUUCUAGCAUUUGAUCAAUAAAAGGUAAGGAGUAAUGAUCUUUCUUAGUAGCUUUAUUUAAUUUGCGGAAAUCAAUUACCAUCCUAUAACCUGUGAUAAUUAUUUGUGGAAUCAAUUCAUCUUUAUCAUUAGGAACAACAGUAAUACCUCCCUUCUUAGGGACACAAUGGACAGGACUUACCCACUCACUAUCAGCAACGGGAUAGAUUAUACCUGCCUCCAAAAGCUUUAGUGUUUCUUUUCUUACCACUUCUUUCAUUUUAGGAUUCAGACGUCGUUGAGGAUCACGAACUGGUUUGGCAUCUGCUUCCAAAUUUAUUUUAUGUUGACAUAGAGUGGGACUAAUGCCCUUAAGAUCAUCAAGAGUGUAUCCAAUAGCAGCACGAUGCUUCUUCAGAGUUUUCAAUAAUCUUUCUUCUUCAUGCUCUGAAAGGUUAGCACUAAUAAUAACAGGAUAUAUCUUCUUUUUAUCAAGAUAAGCAUAUUUAAGAUUAUCAGGCAACGGUUUAAGCUCAAACACGGGAUCACCCUUGGGUGGAGGAGGAUCCCCUAAAAUUUCAACAGGCAAGUUGUGAUGCAGAAUAGGUUCCUGUUUAAAGAAUACUUCAUCUAUUUCCCUUCUUUCAUUCAUGAACAUAUCAUUUUCAUGGUCUAGCAAAUAAUGUUCUAAAGGAUCACUAGGAGGUACGGCAAUAGAAGCAAGACCAAUAAUUUCAUCCUUACUAGGUAAUUCUUCCUCACGAUGUUGUUUACUAAAUUUAGAGAAAUUAAACUCAUGAACCAUAUCAUCCAAACCAACAGUAACAAUAUUCUUAGUGGAGUCUAUGGUAGCAUUGACAGUAUUUAAAAAGGGUCUACCAAAUAUAAUUGGACAAAAGCUAUCUUGCGGAGAAGUAAGAACAAGAAAAUUAGCAGGAUAUUUAGUUUUCCCACACAAGACUUCAACAUCUCUAACAAUUCCAAUUGGUGCAAUAGUAUCUCUAUUAGCAAGUUUAAUAGUAACAUCAAUGUCUUCUAACUCAACAGGUGCAAUUUCAUUCUUAAUUUCUUUGUAUAAGUCAUGAGGUAUAACACUAGCACUAACACCCAUAUCACAUAAGCCAUGAUAACAAUGAUCUCCUAUUUUAACAGAAAUAACAUGCACGCCUACCACAGGUCUAUGUUUAUCCUUAUCACAAGGUUUAGCAAUUCUAGCAGUUUCACCUUCGAACUGAAUAACAUGCCCAUCAAUAUUAUCAGACAAGAGAUCUUUAACAAUAGAAAUAUUAGGUUCUACUUUAACUUGCUCAGGAGGUGUAUAAGUUCUAAUAUUGCUUUUACGAACAACAAUUGAAGCUUUAGCAUGAUCCUUUAUUCUAACAGGGAAAGAUGGUUUCUCAAUAUAAGAAGUAGGAACAAUAGGAUCAUUAUAAGUGAUAGUCUUUUCUUCAACUUUAAUAGGUGCAGCUACUUUUACUUCUAUGGGAGGAUGAUAUUUAAACCACUUCUCCUUAGGGAGAUCAACAUAAGUGGCAAAAGAUUCACAGAAAGAAGCUACUAUCUCAGAGUCAAGUCCAUAUUUAGUGCUAAACUUACGGAAAAUAUCGGUAUCCAUAAAAGAUUUAACACAAUCAAACUUAGGUGUCAUACCUGACUCUUUACCUUCAUCGAGGUCCCAAUCUUCAGAGUUGCGUUUAAUUCUAUCCAAUAAAUUCCAUCUGAAUUCAGUAGUCUUCAUCAUAAAAGAGCCAGCACAAGAAGUAUCGAGCAUGGUGCGAUUGUUUUCAGAAAGCCAAGCAUAAAAACUUUGCAUAAUUAUUUCUCUCGAGAGCUCAUGAUUGGGGCAUGAAUAUAACAUUGAUUUAAGCCUCCCCCAAGCUUGAGCGAUGCUUUCUCCUUCGCGAGGCCAGAAAUUAUAUAUAUAAUUGCGAUCAUGAUGAACAAGAUGCAUAGGGUAAUACUUCUGAUGAAAUUCCAGCUCCAAUCUUUUAUAGUCCCAUGAUCUCAUAUCAUCACAUAGCCUAUACCAUAUCAAUGCGUAUCCCUUCAAAGAUAAACGGAAGACCUUCUUCUUAGCAACAUCAUCGGGUAUACCUGCAAGCUUAAAUAAUCCACAAACUUCAUCCACAUAUAUUAAGUGCUCAUCAGGAUGCUUUGUUCCAUCUCCUGUAAAAGGAUUAGCUAGCAGUUUUUCUAUCAUACCCGAAGGAUACUCAUAAGGAAUUUCAUUUUCAAUAGGUUCAGUAGGUUGAGGAGCAACUCUUUUCUCUACUGGUCGGGGUGAAGAUACCCCGAACAAGCCCCUCAGAGAAUUACUUUCCAUAGUAACAAGUGACAGUAAAUUUCAGCACACUAUAUAAAUUUUUCCUUACCAAAUUCCACCUACCAAAGGCGCUACACUCCCCGGCAACGGCGCCAGAAAAGAGUCUUGAUGACCCACAAGUAUAGGGGAUCUAUCGUAGUCCUUUCGAUAAGUAAGAGUGUCGAACCCAACGAGGAGCAGAAGGAAAUUAUAAGCGGUUUUCAGCAAGGUAUUCUCUGUAAGUACUGAAAUAAGUGGUAACAGAUAGUUUUGUGAUAGGAUAAAUUGUAACGAGCAACAAGUAACAAAAGUAAAUAAAGUGCAGCAAGGUGGCCCAGUCCUUUUGUAGCAAAGGACAAGCCGGAACAAACUCUUAUAAUAGGAAAAGCGCUCCCGAGGACACAUGGGAAUAUCGUCAAGCUAGUUUUCAUCAUGUUCAUAUGAUUCGCGUUCGAUACUUUGAUAAUUUGAUAUGUGGGUGGACCGGUGCUUGGUUGAUGUUCUUACUUGAACAAGCAUCCCACUUAUGAUUAACCUCUAUUGCAAGCAUCCGCAACUACAACAAAAGUAUUAAGGUAAACCUAACCAUAGCAUGAAACAUAUGGAUCCAAAUCAGCCCCUUACAAAGCAACACAUAAACUAGGGUUUAAGCUUCUGUCACUCUAGCAACCCAUCAUCUACUUAUUACUUCCCAAUGCCUUCCUCUAGGCCCAAAUAAUGGUGAAGUGUUAUGUAGUCGACAUUCACAUAACACCACUGGAGGCUAGACAACAUACAUCUUAUCAAAAUAUCAAACGAAUACCAAAUUCACAUGACUACUCAUAGCAAGACUUCUCCCUUGUCCUCACGAACGAACGUAAUUACUCACAAAGCAUAUUCAUGUUCAUAAUCAGAGGGGUAAUAAUAUUCAUAUAGGAUCUGAACAUAUGAUCUUCCACCAAAUAAACCAACUAGCAUCAACUACAAGGAGUAAUCAACACUACUAGCAACCUACUAGCACCAAUCCCGGACUUUGAGACAAGGAUUGGAUACAAGAGAUGAACUAGGGUUUGGAGAUGAGAUGGUGCUGGUGAAGAUGUUGAUGGAGAUUGCCCUCUCCUGAUGAGAGGAGCGUUGGUGAUGACGAUGGUGAUGAUUUCCCCCUCCCGGAGGGAAGUUUCCCCGGCAGAACAGCUCUGCCGGAGCUCUAGAUUGGAUCCGCCAAGGUUCCUCCUCGUGGCGGCGGAGUCUCGUCCCGAAAAGUUCCUCUCUAUUUUUUUCUCAUCGAGAGACCUCAUAUAGGAGAAAAUGGGCAUCGGAGAGCCACCAGGGGGCCCACGAGGUAGGGGGCGCGCCCUAGGGGGGGCGCCCCCCACCCUCGUGAGAAGGGUGUGGGCCCACUGCCCUUCAUCUUUGGCGUGUAUUUUUCUUUAUUUCUUUUAAGACGUUCCGUGGAGUUUCAGGACUUUUGGAGUUGCGUAGAAUAGGUCUCUAAUAUUUGCUGCCUUUCCAGACCAGAAUUCCAGUUGCCGGCAUUCUCCCUCUUUAUGUAAACCUUGUAAAAUAAGAGAAAAUAGCCAUAAGUAUUGUGACAUAAAGUGAAUAACAGCCCAUAAUGCGAUAAAUAUCGAUAUAAAAGCAUGAUGCAAAAUGGACGUAUCACCUACGCACACGCAAGAUCAUGGUGAUGCAUAGCAACGAGAGGGGAGAGUGUUGUCCACGUACCCUCGUAGACCAAAAACGGAAGCGUUAGCACAACACGGUUGAUGUAGUCGUACGUCUUCACGAUCCGACCGAUCAAGUACCGAACGCACGGCACCUCCGAGUUCAGCACACGUUCAGCCCGAUGACGUCCCUCGAACUCCGAUCCAGCCGAGUGUUGAGGGAGUGUUUCGUCAGCACGACGGCGUGGUGACGAUGAUGAUGUUCUACCGACGCAGGGCUUCGCCUAAGCACCGCUACAGUAUUAUCGAGGUGGAGUAUGGUGGAGGGGGGCACCACACACGGCUAAAAGAUCAACAUAUCAAUUGUUGUGUCUAUGGGGUGCCCCCUGGCCACGUAUAUAAAGGAGUGGAGGAGGGGAGGGGCCGGCCCUCUCUAUGGCGCGCCCUAGGGGAGUCCUACUCCCACCAGGAGAAGGAUUCCCCUUUUCCUAGUAGAACUAGGAGCCCUUCCAAGUAGUAGGAGUAGGAGAGAAGGAAAGGGAAAAGAGAAGAGAAGGAAGGAGGGGUCGCAGCCCUCCCCCUUAGUCCAAUUCGGACUAGGCCUUGGGGGCGUGCAGCCUGCCUCUCUCUCUUUCCCCUAACCCAAUAAGGCCCAUACACUCCCCGGCGAAUUCCCGUAACUCCCCGGUACUCCGAUAAAUACCCGAAUCACUCGGAACCUUUCCGAUGUCUGAAUAUAGUCGUCCAAUAUAUCGAUCUUUACGUAUCGACCAUUUUGAGACUUCUCGUCAUGUCCCCGAUCUCAUCCGGGACUCCAAACUACCUUCGGUACAUCGAAACACAUAAACUCAUAAUAUAACCGUCAUCGAACUUUAAGCGUGCGGACCCUACGAGUUCGAGAACUAUGUAGACAUGACCGAGACACGUCUCCAGUCAAUAACCAAUAGCGGAACCUGGAUGCUCAUAUUGACUCCCACAUAUUCUACGAAGAUCUUUAUCGGUCAAACCACAUAACAACAUACGUUGUUCCCUUUGUCAUCGGUAUGUUACUUGCCUGAGAUUCGAUCUUCGGUAUCUCAAUACCUAGUUCAAUCUCGUUACCGGCAAGUCUCUUUACUCGUUCCGUAAUACAUCAUCCCGCAACUAACUCAUUAGUUGCAAUGCUUGCAAGGCUUAAGUGAUGUGUAUUACUGAGUGGGCCCAAAGAUACCUCUCCAACAAUCGGAGUGACAAAUCCUAAUCUCGAAAUACGCCAACCCAACAAGUACCUUCGAAGACACCUUUACGUUGUGACGUUUGGUAGUACACAAAGUGUUCCUCCGGUAAACGGGAGUUGCAUAAUCUCAUAGUCAUAGGAACAUGAUAAGUCAUGAAGAAAGCUAUAGCAACAAACUAAACGAUCAAGUGCUAAGCUAACGGAAUGGGUCAAGUCAAUCACAUCAUUCUCCUAAUGAUGUGAUCCCGUUAAUCAGAUGACAACUCUUUGUCUAUGGCUAGGAAACAUAACCAUCUUUGAUCAAUGAGCUAGUCAAGUAGAGGCAUACUAGUGACACUCUGUUUGUCUAUGUAUUCACACAUGUAUCAUGUUUCCGAUUAAUAUAAUUCUAGCAUGAAUAGUAAACAUUUAUCAUGAUAUAAGGAAAUAAAUAAUAACUUUAUUAUUGCCUCUAGGGCAUAUUUCCUUCACCUCCCUCAUCCCUCAUAUUUUAAAACUGGACAAGUUUAACCCAAACCCGUAAAGAAAGUUGUAUUAGGCUGGCAUGUCCUCGGGUUUGACUAAGCCCAAUUCUUUUCAGCUUUUGAUUCUCGAGAAUCAACUUUUGGGAAACUUCUCACAAAAUCAACCAUCGAGUUCUUUUCUGAGAUUGUGGUGGUCUGAGAUUACGGGAUGAGUUUGUGUGCUGACAUGUCUAUAAUGUCCUUAAACUAAAACUGGGUGUUGAAACGAUAGCAUUCAAAUUAGCACAUAGUAGAAGCAAAAAAGAACCAUUCAUAGUUGCAUUGAGUAAUCACAGUUUUUUUAACCAAGUCAUCUUCCCUUUACAGUUGCAUUGAGCAUUUAUAGUAGUAAAAAGAAAAUUACAUGAUCGGUCCAUUCAUCCAUCCAUCUACGAAAAACCUAGCACCAUUGAUCCAUCCAUCAAGCAAAUCAUGUACUAAGCAUCUACAUACAUCCCGUAAAAAAAGCAUCUACAUAUAUUCAUUUUAUCCAACUUUCAUGUACAAGAGGGGAACUAGAAUAGAGAGAUGAACAAACACCGAAGGAGGAGAGGCUCACCAGGCAGCGGUGCAAGAGAGUUGUGGCCGCGGGAUGAGCUCUUCCACCGCUGGGAUUGGAUGAUUUACCCCACUUUAUAAGGGAUUGCAUGAUUUGCCCCAGGGUUGUUUCAAUUACCAGUGGCUCCGAUCCCACCCGGCAGCCUCUCAGGAGGGCAAAUUAUCAAAUGGGGAAGUAAAGUGGGGCCAAAGAUUUAAUUUCUCGAAAAUCGAGCGAGGGGAGACCGAUCGAGCCAACCCAAUCGUUUUCUCGGGCGGAAGGGCAUUUUGCCCGUAAUUUUGCCUUUAAACAAAGGGUAUGCCCUAAAAAUUAAAAUGUUUUCUUUUGAGGGAGAUCCAAAAUCGACCCAAAACGAUGCUUCUAAGUUGCACUGUCGAUUGUGGUUCGAUUUUCAUAAUUCUACAUAAUCAAAUCAAGUUCUUUUAAGCUUCUGAUUUUCCAGACCCUGAUUCUUCAUAAUCAGGUCAAAAGAACUGGGCCUAAGAACAUCUCAAGUUACUGCCAUCCCAUCUCAACUCAUCUCAUUUCUCUGGAUGCAUAAGCAGCAUUUUGUCGAACAUCUUGUGUGCGUUCGGCCUCCACGCCGCCGGCGUAACACCGAGCUCAAGUCCGGUCACCUUGCGCUGGUGGCCAAGCGCACUACACCAGUUCGCACCACACACGCCGCCACUCAUCGUCGACAAGCGGCAGGGCAUCAAUGAACGAGCCGAAUGAGGUGGUAGACGGCGCAUACGAGCAGGAGAAUUGUUCAGCUCCUGAGCGAGGCAUCGCGUAGGCGGCGCGUGUCGUGGCGGCGCCCGCGCGUCCAGGCCCGUCGGGAGCAGCAGGCCGGCGUUGCUGCGCAUGACGUACGCGCUGUGCUGCAUGCUCCCGCGUCGGCUACUGCAAUGGCCCGAAGCGUGUGGCGGCGUGCCGAUCGACCAACGUCAUGUCGCCGCCGAGGAGGGCCACCAGGAUGCGCACAUCGCUGGCGGCCACGGCCAGCUCGCCGACGAUGAGGCAAGUGUGAUUACCCCCGGGAAAUGCAUGCCAGCUGUUCGAUAAAAUGACUACAAUAAAGUUUCAAUACCAGCCCAAUACCGCUCCAUUUUCUGGUUCUGGACGAAACAUGUCUGAUUUUGAAACACAAGGGACCAAAUGUCGACGGAAAAAAGAUGAGGGAUCCAAUGUCUACUUGUAAACUUGAGGGACCAACAAUAUACACUUUUCUCAAAACAAAACAGAUAUGAAACUCAAACAAAUAUUCAUGUUUGUCUAGAUCAUGUGCAAGAAGGAUAUAUAUAGACACACACACAAGCAUGCAUAGAGAGGUGUUCUUCAGUUCUUGCAUAUUAACUGAGAUUCAUUUUUGCGCUUGCAGCAUAGAACGAAGACAAGUUGCGACUUCAGUGAAUGAAGGUCUUCGCUCAGGCUCAGUUGACCAGCAUUGCUCCAUGAGUUUCCUCCAUUCCGGGUUACAUGAAGUGGGCACUGGCGGCCUCAGUGUGUCACUCAAAAUACCCCCUGCACACUCCCAUUGGAAACUAAUGUUUAAUAAUUUACUCAAGAAGAGCGAAGGUAUGUUUUCGGUUAAAUUAGCAUAUAAAUUUACCACCUGGUUCCCUGAACUUGAGAAUUACACACCCAGGCACCUAAACUUGUAUAAAUGAAUAUAUUCAACUACCUAGGUGACUAGUAGCAACUAUAUAUGAUUUUGCUAUAACUUACUGUUUGGCUUUGUGUAGAUCAUGUGAAAUUAACGAAUAAUGAUGUUCUUUUGUUUAAAUGAAGUUAACAUAGAUCCUGCAAACAUUCUCGCCUUUCAUGACCUUUCUUUUCAAGAAGAUCUCAAGAUUUAGCUUAAAUAAGUUGUCAACAACUGCUAUUUAAGUAGUUUCAGCUUAUCCCUACUCACAAGUAUAUGAUACUCAUGUUUAAGGACUUAAAUGUGCGGUUCCCAAGUUUAGGACCCAAGUGGUAUAAUUGCAGAACCAUGGAAUUCAGAAGAUGAGAUUACCACUACAGCCUACGGAUGGAGGAUCAUACUGUUUCAUACCUAUAACUCCUCCAUAGUGCAUGCCAUCAUAUGGAUCCUCACCAGUGAGAAUUUCCCACAUCACAACGCCAAAAGAAUAGACAUCGACCUGUGUUACCAUAAAAUUGGCAUAUUUGAGAAUACAAAAGAGAAGAACAUGUCAGGCCUAAGUAUAUUCUAGAAAUUUUACAAUCUUUUUGUCAGUGUGUGUUAAAUUCUGCAAGUUUUUUUUUUUCAUGAAUCAAAUAGGAGGAAUGCUCUAGUUCAUGUUUAAAGUGAAUUUUCAUUAACCGUUAUCCCCUCUAUAUCACAAAUAAGUAACUUUUUGGGCAUGCUUUCAGUCAAACUUUUAAAACUUUGGCUGCAAAUAUCAUUUUAAUUGCUAUGUUUAAUUUUUUUAAAUCAUAUGUAUAGAUCUUUCAGAAAGCAUUUCUAGAAUAUCAUGUUUUUCAGUCUUGUACAUAUAUUCCUACUAUAGAUUAGUGAUCAAAGUUAUAUCUCAAAGACCGUGUCAGUAUCUAAAAAGUCACUUGUUUGUGAUAUGAAGAGAGUAUAUAGCACUCCCAGUGAGCAGGUCAAAUAUCUUCAGCAUCAUGCCACAGUUUGAACAAUGUUAUACAUUCAUAUAACUGAUAAGUAUGUCGUAUAACCUUUGUGCAUGAAUGUCAAGUGAAAUUGUGAAACAAACACAAUGCUAUAAUUUGGGUUCUUCGUAAUUUGUAGCACCUUCACACUUCCAAGUCAUUAAAAAGAUUCAUCAUAAUACCUUUUCAGAUACUUUUGUGCCACUCAUUGUCAACAAUUCUGGGGCCAUCCAUGGAAGAGUUCCUCUCAUUCCACCAGAAACCAUGGUGGCUUGUUUCAUCUUUGAUAAACCAAAAUCGGCAACCUGCAGUCAUUAUUUCUCUAUUAUGCCCUUCAUUUAUAUGCAGAAGUCCGUCAUAUGUAUUUCAUAAAUGUGUAUCAUUUUGCUUCACCCAUUUGCAUUUCAUAUUUAAAAUUAAGAAAAUACAUAUGGUAUUUUUUUUGCGGGGUAAUACGUAUGGUAUUUGAAUACUGGUGUUGUGGCAUACCUUGCAUAUGGGACGAGAGGGAUCCUUAACAUUCACUAGCAAGUUAUCGCAUUUCAGAUCGAAAUGGACAAUGUCCUUGGAGUGCAAAUAUUCCAUUCCAAUGGCGGCAUCCAUUGCAACAAGUACCCUCUUGCGCCAAUCGAGAUAUUUGUCCUUGCGACUGAGUACUUUCUUCAGAGAUCCAUUGACCAUGAAUUCUGUUACAGUAGCUAAUGUCCCCCCUGGCCCAUUAUUCACAACCCCGUAAAGUGCCAGAAUAUUCGGAUGGUGAAGUUUUGAGAUGAUAGCAGCCUCUCUCCAAAAUUCUGUUAUCUGCAUGAUAUUAUAUGUUUAAUGAUGGAUAUAUGCUGCAUUUCUGGCUUUCAACCCUUUGCAUUUUUCUAAAAGGGAUUAAGUUUUGUUCAGUUUGCUCUCUACUACUCCAGUUUUUAACAGAUGCAAUUGGUAUGGCUUACCAGUUUAUCUGCCUGUGAUGAUUGGUAUGAAAAACAGCUGUUGUUUAUCCGUUUAAUGGCAACAUCUGUUCCCCUCCAUUUUCCAUGAAAAACAGUUCCAAAUGCUCCGGCACCCAUCUCACGGAGAUCUUCGAGGUCAUCGUUGCUUAUUAUCUGCCAUUUGUAUGACAUCAACUUUAGGAAGAAGUCCUUGUAUAAUGAAAAAGGUAGGAAAUGUGUGCGAAUGAUAUUCAUUGAUAAAUGCCUUGCUUAUUGCUCUGACACAAAAUUUCCUAUGUCACAGACUACUGCAUGUGAAGUUAAUUACAAACCUGGACAUUACUCAUAAGAUCUCUGCCCAACACUGCAUUUGCAGGCAGAGAUUUUUCACUGCUCUUGGUUUCACGUAGCUGAGAGUAGAAGACAAGUCAGAAGUUAUACGGUGAAUCGUUUUCAUCAUAUUGUACCAUUUGAAACAUGGGGUGCAGAUAUGAUGACAUACCUCAGCCUCUGGGAUUGAUGGUGCAGCAUUUUCUUCAGCUUCAUGCAAUGGAGCUCUGAUUUGAGGAUUAAUGAUGCCAGUGCCAACCGAGCGAAAUCGAGUGAUUUCUGAUGAAUGCUCAUCUGUUGUUGGACUGCUGGGUCGUUCUUGUAUUGUAUCACUCGAAGCACGUACAAGAGUAUUUGGUUGCAGAUUUAUCCUUUUGUCUAAAGGUGUAGAAGCAAAAGGAAGUACCGAUGUUGCAGGACCUGCAGGUUGGUUCUUCUGGAUGCUGUUGGUUGGAACUGACCUCUCCGGAUACUGCAAGUUUGCACUGACGUUGCCGCCAGGACUAGUGGAUUCAUGACUAGGUUCAGAUAUCUCCAUCCUGUUGUGCGGCUGGAAAUUAGUGUUCUUCCUUAGUGAAUUUGAUGGCUGCGUCGUCACACUACUGUUGUCCAAUGGUAUCUGAAGCUGUUUCCUUGGUGAUAUUUUUUCCUGUGCCCCAGUAGUUCUGUAAGUGUCUGUGGUAGUCUGUUGAUGCUGCACCGUGGAUUCAGAAGGCGCAGAUGCACCAGGGGAAGCUUUACUAGUCUUUCUGGCUGCAGAGAUCAUGCUAUCUUCGUUACCUUGUGCCUUAUAAUACUGGUUGAUCAUCCGUCUCUGGGUACUUGGGGGAGUCCUCUCCAGCUGACCACCUGCUAUCACUGGCGGUACCGCGAUGCUCUGCAAGGGCUUGCUUUUGAUGGGCACUGAAGCUUCCUCUGUUCUGCCUGCCGGCGGCCCUGCUUCCACACCGAUGCCAAACAUCAGCUGGUCCAGGUCAUUGGCCGAGGAUCUACCGAUGCUGUGUGCUCUCAGCUCAUAACCUGGUGUGGUGAUGAUCCCAUUGACAAGAGCGAUGAACUGCGCCUCUUUCUCGGCAUCGGAUGAGCCUUGUACCACGAAACGCAUGUGGCGCUCAUCGUCCUUGCGAGAGAAGAGGUACAUGUUGAUCAUUUCUCUGUUUUCCUCUAGCACAAUGCACUCAUCAAUCAUAUGCCGGAGGUCAUCAUCGGAGGUGAUGGAGAUGAGCAUGCUCAGUUGCUCCCCUGGUAGGUGGUACUUUAUUGUGUGGGCUCUCCUUAUUAGCCUUGUUGUCUUGCUGACCAACUCUUGCCAAGAAAUGUCCCGGCUAAUUUUCAUCAGAUGCCUGUCACCACCGAUGUACCGGAGCUCGCCGUCGCUUGGCCUUGGCAAGAAAGUGCCACCGAAGUUGCAGAUAAGCUUUACCUUCAUUGAUUUAACAUCGUAGUAAUCUCGAGGGAGCUGUCUGCUGGUGAAACUCAGUGGACCAGAUGUUGGCGGAUUCUUUGGUCCUUUCAGGUCAGAAAUGUUAAAUUGUUCCACCCAGUCCAUGUUGCUGGUGUGGUGCUGUUCUCCUUGACGGUAAUCAGAACGAUGGACUACUUGUGUUUGCUCUCUCUUGCAUAAAUUCAGAAGAAAUUUCUCACCAAUCUGUCAGAACUAGCUCAGUACAUGGCGUUGGUCCUAUUUUACCAAGAACUUUAUAGACCUAGGAUAUACAGUCUGUCAGAAUAAAUUUCUCCUUUUAUUUGUGUUAUAACUUAUAAGAAUCUGAGGCGGUUAAAACUAAGAUAUGCAAAGAUUACAUAAGCUCAAGAGAAAAGGAACCCACAAUUAAACGAGAAGAAAGGUAACUAACCUGUAGAGAGUUCAGGCUUCUACUGGGACUCAAAACUUCAUGGUUGCCAACAGCUUCAUAUUUUUGCCUCAGUGCCAGUGGUGUUUGAGAUACUAAUAUGACGAACAGGUGAGUGGAUUCAGGUAUAGAAAGAUUGUUUCUGAGGGAAGUUGGAUUGGAGUUGGUGAGUUGCUGACUCACCUUUGAAGCAAUGAGUGGAUGGUGUCUGCAACACCUACGUUUUGUUACUAACAAUAUUUGUCAUGUGGACUGUUGAACAAGAUUCCAUCAUCAGCUGCCACUUAACCUGGGGCAAGGGGCGGCCCCUGAAACCUUUGUUGUCGUUGUCAAAUGGCAACAGGAUAUGAACCAUCGUCACUAUAUGGCCGCCCAUAGCCCAGUUGCAUUUGUCAUUUUGUUUCUUCUUCUUCUUUAAAAUGGGGCCGUCCCUGCUGAAACUUGGCUUCCGGUUGUUGAUAACAUAUUUAUUAUCAAAUACGCAUGUUGCAGCUGCAGGCGAGGAGUGGCUGUCAUGCAUUGGUAUUCUAUAAGGUUGAAAGCUUGAACGUUUCUUUCCCAGGUAAAAGUAAUGUUUCUGGUUGACCUAUGACUUUUUUACCAACAGUCUCAACAUUUGUUCUCCUUUCACUUUUGUAUCGAUUGUGUUAUCUUGGACGUAGUUUUCUUCGUUGUUACUUUGUUAGCUAACUAAGAAUGGAAGAAUGGUACUCCUCCUUUGGCUGCUUUGCUCCAUUCUUUUACGGUAGAUGAUUAUCACAUUAAAUACGCGAUUCCACUGCCAUCUCUUGGGAUUCCUUUCGUACUAUGUUAUUUGCUCCAAAAGGCGUUACCUGAGGAAUAUCGACAAAAAGAGGUGCGUGAGCGCGGUAAAAUCUUCUUGGCCCAUUAGGUCCACUUUUGUAUCGUUUGUGUUAUCUUCGACGUAGUUUUCUUCGUUGUUACUUUGUUAGCUAACUAAGAAUGGAAGAAUGGUACUCCUCCUUUGGCUGCUUUGCUCCAUUCUUUUACGGUAGAUGAUUAUUAUAUUAAAUACGUGAUUCCACUGCCAUUUCUUGGGAUUCCUUUCGUACUAUGUUACUCCCUCCGUUCCUUGAUAUAAGGUGUAUAGAUUUUUUUUAAAAAGUUCAAAAUAUAAGGUGUCUUGCGUUGCACCACUCUUUUGAAUAAUUUUUUAGGGAUUUGAUUACAUUUACUUAUAUUAGGCAAACUCCUCUAUUUUCUCAUGUCAAUUAGUCAGGUGUAAUCUCGCCCAAAACUUGUGAAAUUUUCACUCCACGUGCGUUCUUUAAUUUUCGUGCCAAAAACUAUACACCCUAUAUUUAGGAACGGAGGGAGUAUUUGGUAAAAUCUCACAAAGCCUACCAUGUUGGCACAAAAUAACUGUCAAAAUCAUCACAUAAUUUGGACCCAUCGGCAAGGUGUAGGAUCGAUUUCCCCAUUGGUCACCGCACCAUUGAUGUCGAGUAGGUUAUGGACGAACAGACGAAGCUGGUAAUUGAGGCAGCAUCACUGAUAGUUGUGAUUCAUGCAUGGCUUAUGUUGAUCCACAAGAGAGUUGUUCGUCGCAGUGACAAGCCUGUUAUCUGUUAUGCUCCAAUGUUAACCCGGGAUCAAGAAAGGAUAACAAAUCUGAACUACAUCUACAACUGAAGUGAAACAAAGGCUUUGUGGAUACUAAGAAUGAAAAGAGCACCUUUAGCCAGGCUUGUGCAAACCUUCAGGAGUAGGGGGCUGCUACAAGAUAGCAUUCACACCUAUGUGGAAGAGGAAGUUGCCAUGUUUCUCCAUGUUGUCGGUCGUAACCAGAGGUUCAGGGUUCCACAACACGUUCAGGAGAUCAAUGGAGACCAUUUCCAGGUACUUCAGGCAAGUGUUGUAUGCUCAUGGGUAACUUGGAGGAAAGAUGAUCAGGUCACCAACCGUCCGGACUCCUAGCAAGAUUCGCACUAGCCCAAGAUGGUAUCCAUAUUUCAAGGUGAGCACUAACAAUAUGUAGUUCAUGCCUUGACAUGCUUCUAUUAUUAUGCUAUAGCCAUAACACAAUCUUGUAAUGCCAUUUCAGGGUUGCAUUGGGGCAAUAGAUGGUACUCAAGUCACUGCUAGAGUGCCCAGGUCAUAGUUUGCAACAUACAGGGGGAGAAAGCACUACACAAGUCGGAAUAUUCUUGCUGAUGUUGACUUCGAUCUGAAGUUCACAUAUGUGUUGGCUGUCUGGGAAGGACCAACACAUGAUGCUAACAUUCCAAGUUACAACAUGACUAGACCUGAUGACAUUAAUAUCCCCGAUGGCAAGUUCUACCUAGGAGAUGCUGGCUAUGCAUGUCGGCCAGGUGUUCUUCCACCCUUGAGGAAAACCAGGUGCCAUCUGAAUGAGUUCUUUGGUAGGAACUAUCCUAGGACUCCAUAGGAAUUGUUUAAUACCAGACACUCCUGUUGGGAAACGUUGCAUGGAAAACAAAAAAAAAUUACGCACACGCAAGAUCUAUCCAUGGAGAUGCAUAGCAACGAGAGGGGAGAGUGUGUCUACGUAUCCUCGUAGACCGUAACCGAAAGCGUUUAGUAACGCAGUUGAUGUAAUCGAACUUCUUCGCGAUCCAACCGAUCGAGUACCGAACGUACGCCACCUCCGUGUUCAGCACGCGUUCAGCUCGGUGACGUCCUCCGCCUUCUUGAUCCAGCAAGACGGCGAGGUAGAGGAUGAGUUUCGGCAGCACGACGACGUGGUGACGGUGAUGAUGAAGUGAUCUCCGCAGGGCUUCGCCUAAGCACUACGAAAAUAUGAUCGAGGAUGUAAACGGUGGAGGGAGACGCUGCACACGGCUAAGCAAUUGUUCUAGGUGUGCUAGGCGCCCCUCCCACAUAUAUAUAUAUAUAGGUGGGAAGGAGAGGGAGAGGCCAAGGGGCACCCCAAGUAAGCCCGAAUCCUACUUGGGCUUGCCCUAGGCCGCCCCCUUUCCUUCUUUUGGCGUCAAUGGGAAGGAAGGAGGAGGUGCCCCCCUUCCUUUCUCCCACAAGGGGGGGAAGGCAGGAGGAGGUGGCCCCCCUUUCCUUCUUUUAGGGCCGGCGGCCAGGGAGAGGGCGCGCCAGCCCCUCUGUGGGCUGGUAUGCGCCUCUCCUUGGCCCAUUAGGCCCAUAGACCUCCCGGAACCCCUUCCGGUGAUCCGAUGACUACUCGGUGCACUCCAAAACUAUUCUGGUGUCCGAAUACUGCCGUCCUAUAUAUCAAUCUUUACCUCUCGACCAUUUCGAGACUCCUCGUCAUGUCCAUGAUCUCAUUCACGACUCUGAACAACAUUCAGUCACCAAAUCAUAUAACUCAUAUAACACUAUAUCAUCAACGAACGUUAAGUGUGCGGACCCUACGAGUUCGAGAAUUAUGUAGACAUGACCGAGACACCUCUCCGGUCAAUAACCAAUAGCGGAACCUGGAUGCCCAUAUUGGCUCCUACAUAUUCUACGAAGAUCUUUAUCGGUCGAACCGUUAUGACAACAUACGUAAUUCCCUUUGUCCAUCUGUAUGUUACUUGCCCGAGGUUCGAUCGUCAGUAUCUUCAUACCUAGUUCAAUCUCGCUACCGGCAAGUCUUUUUACUCGUUCCGUAAUACAUCAUCUUGCAACUAACUAUUUAGUCACUUUGCUUGCAAGGCUUCUUAUGAUGUGUAUUACCGAGAGGGCCCAGAGAUACCUCUCUGAUACACGGAGUGACAAAUCCUAAUCUCGAUCAAUGCCAACUCAACAAACACCUUCGAAGAUACCUGUAGAGCAUCUUUAUGAUCACCCAGUUACGUUGUGACGGUUGAUAGCACACAUGGUAUUCCUCCGGUAUCCGGGAGUUGCAUAAUCUCAUAGUCGAAGGAAUAUGUAUUUGACAUUAAGAAAGCAAUAGCAAUAAACUGAAUGAUCAUAUGCUAAGCUAAAGGAUGUGUCUUGUCCAUCACAUCAUUCUCCUAAUGAUGUGAUCCCAUUAUCAAAUGACAACUCAUGUCUAUGGUUAGGAAACCUUAACCAUCUUUGAUCAACGAGCUAGUCUAGUAGAGGCUCACUAGGGACACGAGAUUUGUUUAUGUAUCCACACAUGUAUUUAAGUUCUUAGUCAAUAUAAUUAUAGCAUGAAUAAUAAACCUUUAUCAUGAUUUAAGAAAGUAAUAAUAACUAUUUUAUUAUUGCCUCUAGGGCAUAUUUCCAUCAACUCUAGCCUUCGAGUUAUGGUUGAGAGUGCAUUUGGAGCUCUGAAGAAUAGGUUUAAGAUCCUGGAUCAGAAUCCACCGCACACUUUCCCCAUUCAGAUUAAGUUUGUUCUUACUUGUUGCAUUCUGUAUAACUGGACCCUAUAAUGGGGUUGUGCUGAACUGGUGUCGGGGGAGGAAGAGGUGAUGCCUGACGAUGUUGUCAGCUCCGGCCAUGGCGUGGAGGCAUUUGACAACGAAGCUUGAAAGAGCAAAAGGAUGAAGUGGGCACAGUCAAUGUGGGAUAAAAGAGGCCAGACAAGGAUCUGAAGAAGAAGAAGACGAGCAACAGUAGUAGAAGAAGAAGAACUGCGAUUUGUUUCCUAGCUAGGACCGAAACUAUAUCCACACCACUAGUGAGAAAUUGUGAUAGUACCUUAUGCAGUUUGCAACCAAAUACCGUGUAGUUUGUGCACCCAAAGCACCGCAAGAAACCAAACGGGAGGUCAAUAUUUGUUCCCUUGUGCAACCAGCCUAUAUGCGGACAACCAAACUAUAAGUAGAUGCUGGUUUUUGGCCGCUUUAUCUCAGCCAGGCCCAACUGAGGCACACACGCAAAGAGGCAAAAAAAGUGCAGAUAACUAAACACAUCCAAUACAACUCGCCCUAAGCAAAGUGAUUGAAUAGUUUGAUUGUAAAGCCAGAGAUAGGGGAUGGGGCGGGCACAUAUCAAAUCUUACUCAAGAUGAUGCGUCGACUCUGUCUCUCGCAGAUGCUCAUAGGGGAUGGGGUGUGUGUGCGUGCGUUCAAAAAUGUGAGUGUAUGUGCAUAUGUAUGAGCGUGUGUAUUGUGCUAAAAGAAAUGGUACUAUACCCCCGAGUUGGAACAUGAUCUCAGAAUUCAAAAGUAUUGCAUUCCGCUGCCCCGCGGGCACGGCACGGUGUUUUCCAUUACGAUCUCUGGUUUGGCAGCAGCAAACACCAAUUUGGUCUCAGGAGAGUCUCUCCUCCAGCACCAAACACCAGAACCAGAACGGGCAGCUGCGCACGUUCCCCAAUCCCUCUCCCACCACCCACCUACCCAAAUCCCAGCCUUUCUAAAACCCUAGGCCGCCGCCGCCGUCCAUCGGUCGCACCUCCUUGCAGCGUCCCCGCUCGGGGGGCCGCGACAGCUGGCGGUCCUCCACGGUCCGCAUGGCAUUCCGCGAGGAUGGCUCGUCCAUGGCCAUCGUGGGCGCCACUAGCACGGUGGGGCGGGAGUUCCUGUGCGUCACCACCGAAGCAAAUAUCUCUUUUAAAUGAAAUACCUCGGUUUAAACAAAGGUGAAAUGAGUGUAAAAAUAUCACUCAUCAGGACAUGGAUGUGGGACUAUUUCCUUCGCCAUUGACCUGGGGCUUCACUUCCGUGGCUCAUGGUCGAAGCUUCACUUCUCGGGGCUCACGGCCGGAGCUUCACUUCCCGGUCCGCGAAGAUUUAUACCAGGUUUAACUUUUGUUUAUGUUAAAAAUUUGCCAUGUCCGCUUUUGUUUAAUGAAAUAUGUCAGAAAUGAAAUGAAUGUGUUUCGGUUUAAAUCAUCCGGUUUGCAUGAAAAUCGUUCAGUUUGCUCAAAUUGCAUUUGAAAUGUGUCAGCAUGGUCCGCGGUGGAGAUGCCCUUACUCUCCAUCCUUUAGAAGAUCCAUAAAUGCUAGUGCUUUUUUGAAAUGAAGUUAUGAGUCCGGAAUGCUCGGUGGUUAUCCUCUCCACCUAUGAUUUUAGAAAAAUGUGACCCCAACAAAAACGCAUUUUACAACUCGCCGUAAACAAGUGGUUGAACAAUUUGAUUGUAAAAGCCAAACAUAUCAAACCCGUUAGAAAUUAAUUAAUUAAUCUCUCUGUAAACUAAUAAAUAAUAAAAGAUUGUUUAUACCCCCUCCCUCCAACAGUAUGUGAGAGCGUUUUGGACACUACUAGUUCAUGGAGGAAGUAAAAAAAUUCUUUGCUUAGAGCAACUCUAAUGAGGCGACCCAUUUCAUUCGCGGCCGUCCGUUUGGGUCGGGCGGACAGAAAAGGCGGCACAAUGCGCCGACCCAAACGGACGCGCGUCCGUUUUUCGUCCGCGGGCGACCCAUUUCCGGCUCAUUUUUGAGCCGGAUUUGCGUCGGAGCGGACACGCGACGGACGCGUGCUUGCUCGCCUACUCCUGUCCUCGGGCCCGCUCGUCUGUGGCACAUUGACCUUCCCCCGCCAAUAAGCAACCCUCGCCCCUGCCUCCUCCGUCACCGACGCCGCCGCCCAUUUUGCCGACGACUCUUCCAGCUGCCGCCGCCUCCACAUCCGCCCAGCAACGCCGCCCCUGCCCUCGGUCGCCCGCCGUCGCCGUUUUGCCGCUGGGGAGCAAGCUGGUUCCCCGCCGCUGUUUCCCCUACGCCCAGCCGCCCCGCGACCAAAAAGACGCCUCGCCGCCCCAGCCACAGACGACUGACACGCUCGUCGGACGCCGGCCGGGCAGCUAGCUGGUCUGUGGGCGCCGCGUCUCCCCUCGCCGGCCGUCUCCUUCUUCGACGCCCGCAAGCUGUUCGACAGUUUGCCAAGGUAUGAAAAUGGACUCCGCCGACGAGUUCUUUUUCCAUAAUUUCCUUUGCGACUCCGACGAUUCGUCCGACGACGAGGAGGAGAUAUUGGCUGCUGUGUUGGUCCAUCACCACCUCAACAACCAGUGGCCGUUGUUCCGUGGCUCCAUUCCGGGCCACCUUCCGGCGUUGAAUCGUAACCGGGAGAGCGGGCAUUUCCUUCUCUGGAAGGACUACUUUGAUACAACAAACCCGUUGUUCAAACAUCACAAAUUCCGCCGCCGGUUCCGUAUGAGUAGGCAUGUUUUCAACCGUAUUAGAGAGUGAGUGAUCGGCUAUGAUGACUACUUCGAGUGCAAAGAGGAUGCCGUCGGCAAGAUUGGUUUCUCCUCUUAUCAGAAAUGCACUGCCGUCAUCCGAAUGCUUGCAUACGGAGUGCCCGGUGAUCUCAUUGACGAGUACGUCCGUAUGAGCGAGUCUACAUGCCUAGAGUCCCUGUAUAAGUUUUGCAAGGCUGCGAUUGAUGUGUUUGGCCCUGAGUACUUGAGAGAGCCGACAACUGAAGAUACAACCCGUUUGUUGGCGAUGAAUGCUAGCAGGGGCUUCCCCGGGAUUCUUGGCAGCAUAGACUGCAUGCACUGGGAGUGGAAGAACCGCCCUUCUGCUUGGCAAGGGCAGUAUAAGGGACAUGUCAGGGCUUGCACUGUCAUACUAGAGGCCGUGACGUCUCAAGAUCUCUGGAUAUGGCACUUUUUCUUUGGCAUGGCUGGAUCACACAAUGAUAUCAACGUGCUUCAGCGCCCGCCGGUGUUUGCUAGGCUUGGCGAAGGCAACAGCCCACCGUGAACUUUACUGUCAACGGCCACACCUACGACAAAAGGUAUUAUCUGGGUGACGGUAUCUAUCCUCAGUGGACCACUAUUGUCAAGACAAUACCCAACCCUGUCGGAGAGAAAAGGAAAAGAUUUGCCCAAGAGCAAGAGAGUGCUAGAAAGGAUGUCGAGCGUGCCUUUGGUGUUUGCCCAAGAGCAAGAGAGUGCUAGAAAGGAUGUCGAGCGUGCCUUUGGUGUUUUGCAAUCUCGAUGGGGCAUUGUUCGGUAUCCUGCUAAUACUUGGAGCACGCAGAAACUAUGGGAGGUGAUGACUGCUUGUGUGAUCAUGCACAACAUGAUCGUAGAAGACGAGCGCCCGGAACGUCUGUACGAUCAAGGCUUUCAGUUUCAGGGUGAGAAUGUUGUGCCUGAGCAUGGAGUAGCGGCAACAUUUGAGCAGUUCACUCAGUUUCAUGAGGAUAUGCGUGAUUGAGAAACUCACGUGCAACUGCAAAAUGAUUUGGUUGAGCAUAUGUGGACUCAUGUUGGCACCCAAUAGAUGUAUCUUUUUUAUUCGUUUUGCAAAACUACGUGAAACAUUUUUUAUUUUUAUUUGGCAUGUAAACUAUACUAUUUAUUUAGGCGGACUAUUUUGUUUGUUAAAUUUUCAUUUCACCAUAUGUGAGAAUGCAAUGCAAAAUUGGGCGGCUAGCCGGCCACGCCUGCACAUAUGAGUGCGCGCUGCCGACCCAUAUGAAAAACAGGGCGGACGGCCGAGCCAAACGGACAAAAAGCGGACGAAAUCACCGUCCGUUUGGGGCGGCCAGUUGGAGUUGCUCUUAACCGCUUCAAGUUUAGCGACGGUCAUUGGUUUCCGUCGUCUUUAAUUCGCGUCUAUACAACACACCCCUUGAGCCACAUACACAUAUGGCUCUACAUAUAUAGCGUUUCAUCAUGGCCAAAGAACAACUGUUCCGUCACUUGCUUUUCUCUCUACCAAAACACCAAGUUGGAAGCUUCAAAAGAAAAAGAAAAACACCAAGUUGGAACACGAAUCAUCAAAAUUCAAAAGCAGCAGCCCGCUGUCCCGUGGGCACGGCACACUGUUUCCAGCGUUUGGCAGCAGCAAACACCAAUUUGGCCUCGGGGCCAUUCCCAUUCCCCGAGCACGAAACGCCAGAACGGGCAGCCAGCCAGCACGAUCCCCUCCCCUCCCCACCCAAUCCCCCUCCCACCACCACCCACCUACCCAAAUCCCAGCCGCCCUAAAACCCUAGGCCGCCAAACCCGCCGCCGCCGCCGCCGCAAUGCAGGCCGCCGCAGCCGUCCACCGGCCGCACCUCCUCGCGGCGUCCCCGCUCGGGGGCCGCGCCAGCCGCCGGCCCUCCACGGUCCGCAUGGCGCUCCGCGAGGACGGGCCCUCCGUGGCCAUCGUGGGCGCCACCGGCGCGGUGGGGCAGGAGUUCCUCCGCGUCAUCACCGCCCGCGACUUCCCCUACCGCAGCCUGCGCCUCCUCGCCAGCGAGCGCUCCGCGGGCAAGCGCAUCGACUUCGAGGGCCGGGACUACACCGUCCAGGACCUCGCGGCGCCGGGGGCCUUCGACGGGGUCGACAUCGCGCUCUUCAGCGCUGGCGGGAGCAUCAGCCGCGCCCACGCCCCCGCCGCCGUCGCCAGCGGCGCCGUCGUCGUGGAUAACAGCUCCGCCUACCGGAUGGACCCCGACGUGCCGCUCGUCAUCCCGGAGGUUAACCCCGAGGCCAUGGCCGACGUCCGGCUCGGGAAAGGGGCUAUUGUGGCCAACCCCAACUGUUCCACCAUCAUCUGCCUCAUGGCUGUCACGCCGCUGCAUCGCCACGCCAAGGUACCAUUGCACAUAUGUCGCCUUUCGUUCCCUGCUUUCUAACAGUCACACUAGAAAGUAAUGUUAAAUUAAUUUGGAAAAUGGGAUAGCUGAGACCAAAGAAAACCAAAGUCUUUAAAUUUGAAUCCUGAAAAAAUGACUAGACUCAUCUUUGAAUUAGAGAUGCUUCUUCAUAGUUCAUAGGAAUAUUUAAUUCCAUAUAUUUCAUUGCAUUUCUCCUAAUUGUGAUGCCUUUUAAGCUAUGAACAUUGCAAUUUGAUAGAUACGAGUACUUAAUACAGUAGUUUUUUGUGAUUUAUGUUAAGCCUGUCAAUAGGGACUUUCAUGAUUAGUUAUUCUUAUUUAUGUGUGCCGAUCCGCUUCAUAUAUUAACAUCAUUUUUAUUGUGAGUCGAGUAUUUUGUAAUGUAUAAGUACCGAUAUGUGUCAUGUAAAUGUAUGCUUGUUGGUUGCAUUUCUGGACUGACCAAAUAAAUUGAUGGCAAUCUUUUCAUCGUCAAUGUGGCAGGUGAAAAGGAUGGUUGUCAGCACAUACCAAGCAGCAAGUGGUGCUGGUGCUGCAGCCAUGGAAGAACUCAAACUUCAGACUCGAGAGGUGGGCAUUUCUCCCUUACUAUUUUGCUCGUGGUGCUAAAUCAGUAUAGCUACUGACACUGUAUACUUUAUUUAGGUCUUGGAAGGAAAGCCACCAACCUGUAACAUUUUCAGUCAACAGGUUAUAACUUCAAUACCUUGUGCGCAUGUUGAGUUGAUUUCUUACUGUCAUAAGACAUGCUUAAUUUAUUUUUCCUUCUGCAGUAUGCUUUUAAUAUAUUUUCGCAUAAUGCACCUAUUGUUGAAAAUGGCUAUAAUGAGGAAGAGAUGAAAAUGGUGAAGGAGACCAGAAAAAUCUGGGUAAGUGGAAGCUUGAUCAAUGCCCCAUAGGUUCUUUGCAUUACUCCAUCAAACUUUUCUCUUAAGUUGGCUGUUGAGCAAACAGAAAUGCCAUACUAACUCUCUGCUCUGUUUCUAGAAUGACAAGGAUGUAAGAGUAACUGCAACUUGUAUACGGGUUCCUACGAUGCGCGCGCAUGCCGAAAGCGUGAAUCUACAGUUUGAAAAGCCACUUGAUGAGGUUAGCAUACUGUAAUUGUGUUACGUAUCAGUUAGUACGUAGAAUUCUUUCCUGAAUUGUUACAAUCUCAGGUCCUGAGUCACUGGGUAAAAAUAUGUUUAUUGGCCUAGCAUGGCUUUGUUUUCCUUGUUUUCGGCAAGUAGAAUUGUAAACGGUUUCUUGUGGAACUUGUCUGUUGUCAUUGUUGGGUAGGUCAUUUAAUUAACUUUUGACACUUAAUACAAUUUCCAUUUCUUGUCCCAUGUAAACAAAGAACACACCUUAUUAGAUGAUCCUCUGUUCUUCUUCAUGAUGUAUUAGCUGUUCAAAUUCUGAAAUUGUUUGCAUAUGUUCUUGAAGGACACUGCCAGAGAAAUCUUGAGGGCAGCUCCUGGUGUUACCAUUAGUGACGACCGUGCUGCCAACCGCUUCCCUACACCACUGGAGGUAAUUGGGCAGUUUAAUUUUCUGAAGAUGAACAUAUUUGGAGCGGCGAUUUGUUUGUUUUUAUUCACGUACAUUCCACUCAUGAGAUUCCUUGUGAUCUACUCCCUCCGUUCCGAAUUACUUGUCGUAGGUAUGGAUGUAUCUAGACGUAUUUUAGUUCUAGAUACAUCCAUUUCCGAGACAAGUAAUUCCAAACGGAGGGAGUAGAAGACAGGAGAUUUGUUAUUUACUAACUAUAUGCUGCACACUCCACCCUUUCACGAAGCUACACUAGCCUGUUACUUGUUAGAAAAGUAGAGCAGAUUUUCUUUAAUUCUGAUAGAACUCUAAUUUUCAGGUAUCGGAUAAAGAUGACGUAUCAGUUGGUAGGAUUCGCCAGGACUUGUCACAAGAUGAUAACAGAGGGUACACUCACGUUUUACACUUACUGUUGUAAUCAUCUGUUUGUUAUGCAUCGCUUGCACUUAAAAUGUUCCUGUAUACCGGAACCUAAUCAGCUCCUCAAUGGCAGGUUGGAGUUAUUUGUCUGUGGAGACCAGAUACGUAAAGGCGCCGCGCUGAACGCUGUGCAGAUUGCUGAAAUGCUACUGAAGUGACCGCCUUUUUACCAUUGUCUCAUGUGCCACGUUGCUCUAUCCAUUGAUGGAUUGAUGUACUCUAGUCACUUUCAACCCAGUUUUGGUCGUCUGUCUUUUUUGUAAUCUGUCAACCUAGCAGAAGUGUAAGACGGGCUUUAGUCAUCUGUUGCACACAAAAGUGCAGCCACAAGUUUAGAAAAGGAGGGUUUUCACUUGUUCGGAUUUUGCCUUAGGUUGGUCUUUGUUGCAAGUUUGUCGUUUGUUUCUUGAAAGCUGGUCUGCUGUAACUUUACCCCCAAAGCCCUCGAGAUAACGAGGCCUCCUGUGGGGACCUAUAUGAAGGGCAACGUGUGUACCAUGCAACAAAUCGUUGGGCUAAAUGCUGUAACUUUUGAGGUGCAAAACCAAGGUCCGCUGUAACCUUUGCCCUGAAAGCCCCGAAAUAAAGAGGCGCCUUGUGAAAUCUAUAUGAAUUGCUUUGUGUGCCAUGUACGACUAAGUGUCGGAGCCAAAAGCUUGCACCGAACCUAUUGGAUGCAAACUGGGGGCUAUGAUUUCAGUGAUUUUGAAGCGGUUUAGAUGAUGAAGGUGCUAAAAUAGCUCUCACAUGUGGUUCGAUGCAUGUGCUUGCAUGUACCUUGUUUGAUUCAUGAACAGAAGCCUGGCCAGAUCAGAAGUUCUCACCAGGAGCGCCAUGUUACAUCAACUAAAACGUACAAGGACCCCGAUAGCUGGCGAACGCUCGCCAGCAGGGGAUGACAUUUGCGAACGAACGCUCGCCAGCAGGGGAUGACAUUUGCGAACGAUUUGGAUGGCAGUUUUAGUUGGAGUAAUGCUACACGUAUAAACGAGUUACAAGGUUUUACAAAAAGGGUUAAUUUGAUUGGUCAAUAGAUGGGGAGGCGGCCCAUCCCCCUGAAAAUCAGGGGGGAGGCAAGUUUGUGAUUGGUUAGUAGAUGGAAAAAAUCCUAGUCAGCGUAUAAUUGCGUGUAACUUUUUGUAUGUUUAGCAUUAUUGUUUUAGUUGUAGAGGAGGGGACGGCAUUUGCGAACGAUUUGGGUGGCAGUUUUAGUUGUAGAGGUGUGGCAACUUUAGUUGUAGGGGUUGACAGUUUUUAUUUUGUGAAGGUAUUCUUUUUGUGAAAACCGACACUGUUUGAUCCCGAUCAAAUGGCUGGGUUCGCUGGGACUUUACUCCCAGUGAACGGCAGCCAUUUAACAUUAUACCAAACCUACAAAGGAUAUAUUAUCACCACUUGACAGUAAAAUUUCCAGGGGUUGGCUUUUGUACCGGCAGGAGGAGAAUCGGGAGCAAUCAAAAGCUGGAUCCCACAUCUUUCCCAGUGCUGACCAUGGAAACUUUCACUGCAUCAAACUCAGAACACACAUCAAUUCUUUUCUUUUUUGUGUGUGAAAACAAACGCAUCAAUUCGAGAAUCAAUUGCAGCGCAGUUUGCUGCUGGCCUGGAAUGGGCCCAGGGUGGCCUGCCACUCUACCAGAUAUACACUCUGUUGCAAAACCAUUGCCUGGUGUAACCUUGGCUCUCGAGGGUAGGAGGUUGGAGGCACAUGAGGCAAUUUAACCAUAACAACAAGAUGUUGGAGCUAAAAACUUUCACUGAGCCUCGCCUCGCAUCCGCUUCCAAUUCUCAUCACACACAAUCAACCGUCUGAAGCAACCACCGUACCGGCUGCAACUUUUUUAACUGUAUAAACAGUGCAAAUGUAUUAAAAUGUUACGACUACAAACUCAAAUCACCAUCAGACGAAAUGUUCAUUGUCCCACGCAAACGAACCCAAACAAAUUUUUUCAUGCAUGCCAUCAACCCUUGAACCUAACACUACGGCUGACGUUCGGAUUAAUGCCAGACAUUUCUCCUCCGUAUGGACCGGAGGCCUUCUUCACGCCAUGCCCCUGACUUCUCCACUUAAGUCCCUGUUUCUCACUCUUAGCCCUGUAUUUCUUCCGUGGGUUCUUGAGCUUCCUGUUUCUGGAGCGAGUCAGCCCUCGGUUUUUCUCGAUCUGGCGCGAGAUCCCCCUCCUCUUGCCAUCUCCUUCGCCUUCUUCUGCCAACGGCCCGGUGAUAGGGGCGCUCUGUUCUUUGCGCAAGCGCUUUUCGGUCCUCUGCCUUUUGACAUCUUUGUAGAAUUCAUCUUCAGACUCCGACGCUUCAUCAUCAUUGCCCUUGUUGUCUCCACGUGUAUUGGUUCCUACCCGAGCAAGAACACGUAGUUCGUGUUUUCGACGUCUUUCACCAAUCUCAUCUCGCUUUGAAAUGUCAUCAUCACCAGAAACAGACUUGAACUGAUGGCCAGAAGAGGGGGGAAAAAGGUUAGGAAUAGCUACAGCCAUUAUAACAACAAAUAUAAGUAUAUAACGACAAUGGAAAGAACACAGAAAUCGAUAGACAAAGCACAAGAACUUGUUUAAAGGGUUGAUCUAGCUUUGCAUAUGAGCAAUAGUCAACAAUUAUAAAUUCAUCAAGUAUUUCAGAAGAUAUCUUUGGUAAGACAAGGGUUACAAGGUUUGCGUUCUAAGAACAACACUUAUAUGCACUUGAUAGCAUAAGUCAUUCUAUUAACAUGACAGAUAAUAUAGCACAAAGGCUGUUCUGGAACAGCAGAGCAGAAAGAUUACAAACUCUAACAAAGCAGCAAGAUUCAAGCAUGACCCAACAUUUUGACCCCAAAAAUGACCAGCAUCGUUGGCUAGUUCAUAUUUAUUGAAACAAAUGUUGAUAGGAAUGCGGAGAUGUGGUGCCAAGGUUUUUAAAGCUGGAACGCAAGCAUAGCUAGUGUCCCUGAGUGUAGCACAAUUCAUUAUUGAUAUGUUUUACCAACAAUGGUACUCAUUCCAAUAAUUACCAUGUCCUAUUAUAUUAUCAAAAUUCUAAUUCCCUUUUGCAGAGUAAGAAAAGUCCCAGUGCACCCGAGAAACCUUGGAAUCAAUAUUUAAAACACACCAGCAACUCCAAAAUCACUUAAUAAUCCUCAAAAUUCGCUAACAUUCUGGAUACAAUGAUAAUUCAAAUAAUGUAUAGUAUGUGGUGGUUGAUAAUAUCUGUAACAUGGCUGGGUGUAAGGAUGUAGUAUCAAUUCAGUUAAGGUUCUAUCAAAUUAGCAUAAGUAACAGCACGUAUGCAGAAAAUCAGCCCACUUUUGGCAACAACAAAAAAGAACAAUAAAACAUUUGAGGUCAAUACUUGGAUACUUCAAACUGUGUGUCCUGAUGAAACAAACAACUUGACAAGGAGCCAAAGUAGACCAGAAGACUGCAGGUUUUGUUAUCUCAGUGAGACUUCAGAUUUAGCAAGAAUGUAGGUUUCUAUCAAAUUACCCCCUUGCAGAAAAAAUGUGACAAAAGGAAAGUGGCAAUGUUAAAAAAUCGUAGAUUACCAACUAAAAAUGUAACAGAUAUCAACUUGGUCGAGAUCAGAAUGAUUCUCUAAUGUAGUGUUCAACUGAAUACUAGCAAGAAUCUACAGCAAGAAACAUAUGGUCAUUGAAAUUUCGGUCCUACAUGACAGUAUGUGUACUUGCCUGUGUAGUUUUGUAGUUAUGAACUUGUAAUUUGCACCAUAUGCAUAAAAGACUAGUUAAUUAAGGGCAGUUUGGAUCAUUAUCACAAGACAUUUAGAUUUCGCGCAAGUUAAAAAAAUAGCUAGUUAUGAAGGUACCCAGCAAAAAUAAGAAACCUGCAUGAAAAUACCCCAUACCUUGUUUCUAUUUGAGCCAGUGGCAUUCACCAGAAGCUUUCUAGGUUUGAUCACUUGACUAUUUUUCUGCACUUCAUCAUCAAAGUCAUCCAAUGUCUGCAGGUUUAUCCUAGUAUUGGUUGCCCUGGUUUUUGACAACUUUGGCUUCAACCCUUGUUCCUUCAACCCCUUCUCAGCCCUUUUUCCUUCAUCCUUGCUCUUCCUUUUGGCAAUUUCAUGGUGCCCAUUAGAAGGCCCAUUCUUUGUCAAUUUGGCUGCUUCAGCACCCCGUUUUACUUUGUCCAGAACCAGUAAAUUGCUAGAUUUGCCCUCGUCAUCAUCACUUUCAUCAUCGUCGUCUAAUCUGAAAUAUUUCACUGACAGCUUACUGUUCUUCUCUACUUGUAUCCUCCUUAUCUCUUCACAGUCAACAUCAUCAGCAUCAUGCUCAUCGCCAUCAUAGUAUAAUGUAUUUCCGCUACCCCAAUCAAAUUCACCCGAACUAUCAUCACCGGCAAAAAUUUGUUGGAUUGCCUUGUUCGCUCUCUUGAUUCUUGCCAUAUAUAUUUUGUCCCAUACCUCGUAACUAUCUGCGCCCGCGUCGCGGUGCUUACCUCCUUCGCUGUCAUCACUUCCAUCGCCGUCCUUGCCUUCUUCGCCAUUAUCAGUUUCAUGGCCGGAAACACCCUCGAGAUCGUUGACAGGCUGCACCGGAUCCUCCUUCUCUGGAUGAAUCGAGUCGUCGGCGUCGAGGGGGAUGGCGUCCCGCUGCUUGGGGAAGGCGUCAAUCUCGUCGCCGUCAGAGUCGGACAUCGCCGCCGCCUUGCUGGAUCGCUUGGACUGCUGUGUGUCCGCCGCGGGUGGCAGCCGUGUCGACCUCAGCCUCUUCCCCAUGUUGGGUGGCGGCAGGAGUAUCGAGGAGUCGGGGUGGGGGAGGAAGCGCUGCGCACAGGCGAAGAGGCUGGUUCAGGGUUAGGGUAUCUCUAGCCCAUCGGGAUUUUAAUUUUUUUUUUGAGAAUUAGCGCCUCAUUUCAUAUAGUUUUCUGGUAAAAAAAAGCUUUUCAUUGUCCAAUUUUUUCACACUAGCUAUCGGCGCAUUCAUGGUGUAGCAAUCCGUGUCCUAGCCGAUUAGCCCCGUUGCAGUUAUAAAACCCACCCCAGCAGCUCUCAAAGCCUAUUCCAUCCAAACCCCAUUCUCAUGAACGUCAACCCGAUUCUCCCUACCGCCGAAAUCGAGCUUGAGCUCUUCGUUGCAGCAAGGAGAACCGCCAUCACCGCCGGCCCCGAUUUGCCCCAUCCACGUUGUUGCUUGCCUCCUCGACUCCCUACUACGUGUCUCCGUCCCCGAGCUUCACCACCGCCACUCCGAUGCCCUCCUUCGUCGCCGACCCCUUCUUUCGUCCUCAGGCACCACCGUCGGCCCCAGCGCCGACCCCCUCAUCCAUCCUUGAGCACCACUGUCGUCCCCAUCGCCGACCCCCUCCUUCGUCCUCGAGCACCACCGCCGCCCCCAUCCCCGGCCGAUGCUGCCAUGGCGCGUUGACGCAUGACUUGGUAUGCGCAGUUCAUAACAGCGUGGUGCACCCAAAUCAUGAAGAAGCAACACACCAGCGAGGCUUGAUGAGAAGGGCGCAUUGCAGUUGGCCUUCCUUCAAGCUCGGACAAGGACAAGGAGGGGCAAGCCCCGAGCUCGGAUAAGGUGGCGCCCGUUUUUGAUUGGGCCAAGGCUUUGAACCCCAUUUGGCUGAAUGAGGUGGUGGUUUCAUACAUGGCGUUUGGUUAAGGCUGUGAUGAUGCAAUUACCUGGCAUUUGCUUUCUCAUGACCUAAUGUUGUUGUCACCCCAUCUCAGUAGUGGCGACCUUAUCACAAACUACACUACAAGCGGUAGCAAUUUAACAUCAUUUCAGUCCUAACCACCGAAUAAAUGACAAUUCAUCCUAAUAGACCUAGAUACUACUCCCUCCGUUCCUAAAUAUUUGUCUUUCUAGAGAUUUUAAAUGGUCACUACAUACGGAUGUAUAUAGACAUAUUUUAGAGUGUAGAUUCAUUCAUUUUGCUCCGUAUGUAGUCACCAUUUGAAACCUCUAGAAAGACAAAUAUUUAGGAACGGAGGGAGUAACAAAUAGCAGUACCAAAUUAACAGUCAUAUGGAUGGGGGGAAGGGUGGUUUAUCAAUGGCGAUCAAGGGGGAAGAUCAGCAUUCUCCUCCUCCUCCUCUUCUUUAGAUCCUUUUGUUGUCUCUAUUAUCCCACAUUGCCUCAACCCACUCCAAUCUUUUUCUCUUCCAAGCUUCAUUAUCAUGUGCCUCCAUACCAUGGCCGAAGUCAAUAUCAUCAACCAUCACAUCAUCUUCAUCUGGCACAUACUCAUCAAGACCCCUCUCUAGGAUCGAGUUAUGAAGAACGCAACAUGAAAAAAUAAGUUUAACUUGGGUGGGAAAAUGGUGGAAUGGCUAUCAAGAAUCUUAGCUAUAUUAUUCAAAGCACCAAAUGCCCUCUCAACUAUAAUUCUAAGGCUAGAGUGCCCGAGAUUGUAUAGUCCGUUGAUAGUCUUAGAAUAGCUCCUUGUAGAGAAUUCAUUAAGAUGAUACCUGAUUUUCUUCAAGGUUGGAAGAACCACAUGCCGACAUGCAUAUCCAAUAUCUCCUAGGUAGAAUUACCACCCGGGAUAUUGAUCCCAUCAGAUCGAGCCAUGCUGUCAGCAGGAAUGUUUGCAUCAUAGGAUGGCCAUUCCCAACCAACUAACACAUAUGUGAAUUGAGAUCAAAAUCAACAUCAGCAAGCACACUCUGGCUUCUGUAGUGAUUUUCCCCUGUAUGAUGUAGUAUGUGACCUUGGCGCUCUAGCAGUCACAUGAAUAUCAUCAGUUGCUCUAAUACAAUCCCGUGAUGGCAUGAACAAACUGGUAUGGUUCGCAACAAUACGAUCAUGUCAUGGCAUGAGCUAACAAUUAGUAUUGAUCACCUUGAAAUAUGGAUACUAGCGAUAUCUCGCUUGCAUCUCGAAGGAGUUUUACUAGUAGGUACUUUGAUCAUCUCACCUCUGAGCUCUCCAACCUCAUGCAAGACUUGCUUGAAAUACUAGAAAAUUGUCUCAUUGAAUCUUCCGAAUGUGUUGUGAAUCAACCUAGACCUCUUGUUAUGACUCGCGACAUGAAAGGGCAUUGCUACUUGGAAGCGACUUUUCGGUGGACGGCGGCUCGUGUGGACUGUAUCGGAGCCGUCGAACGAUUCCUGGAGAUGCACAAACAUCACUUCCCUGUCCCCCCGGUUCGAUCUCCUAGUAAUAGGGAAUAGGUGGCAUAGGCGUAUGGAUUUGGCACAAUUGUUUCGGGCCUUUGGAGCUGGACUAGUGAACUGCGCGAGCUGGUGCACAUGCCGCCGCAUAGGAAGGAGCAGUUGAUGACUUGACCUGGUGAUGUAGCCGGACGGGUGGUGGGCCAUAACGUAGAAACUUUUUGCACGUCGGGACGUGACAAAAAGUGACCCUGCCAUCUUUCCAUCAUGCACAGUGCGCCUCUCUCUUGCAAUUACUGCAUCCAGGUUCGCUAAUCAAAUAUACUUGGUUAGUUUAAUGUGCCGGGUAAAAGAAGAUUCAUAAAAUCUAAAAACAGUACUUUCAAAUGGACGGAUGCAUUGGAUCCUUUUUUUUCAAAUGAUUCGAAAAUCAUAUUUCAAAGUAAAAAAAACUGCAAAAACUUAUACAUAUUCAUGAUGAUCUGUGAAAUUGCAUUCAAACAAAGUAUGAUUGCAAGUUGUACAAAAAAACAAUUCCGGCUCAACAAUAAAAAAUUUGGCUCAUUUUCAUUUACACAUUUGUUUUUUUGUCUACGUCACGUGUGAAGUUAUAUUGUUAAGGAAAUUUUCUUAAAUGUGGUAUACGUGCAUUUGUGUAUUUCUAAAAGAAUUUGCGUUGCGGAAUUAUUUUGGAAGUCCACCAAUGCACCCAUCCACCAAAAGGCAUUUUUGCCUUCUUACAUACUAGGCUCGAAGAUGGUUUGCGGCAAAAAAACAAAUUUUGAUAAUACAAAAAAUUAUAUAACGGGCUGCACAGUAAUACAUUAAUCUAACAAACUGUGUGAGACUAAUUCUUGUUCAGAGUCCCAAUCAUGAAGAAACUUUUAAUGGCCGUAUGAAAACAGUUUAAAUCAUAGUUCAAGUAAAUACCCUUGAUAGCCAGAUGGUACUAACAAACAAUAUGGUAGUAGUAGUGUUUUAUGUGGUCACGUGUGUGAGCAGUGCAACAAACUGGGGCCCGCGAUCAAACGUGUACUACCAAGGUACAUCGGUCAGCGUCUACUCUGGUGCCUAGAUUCUGUGACAAAAGCUACCUAUGCCGGGCGGAAUACAAGGGCUGGCCGAGCUCUACGGGGGGACAACAUGCCAGAAUACCGGGCAUGAUCGGCUGAAUGGAGAUAAGGGGCGGCCAGGAUAAAGUCCGCAGAGUGCUCGUCCACCAUUAAGCAUUUUCGAUUGCUACUUGCUCUUUCACAUAGGCAUGGAUGCUAUCUUUUAGCAACCCACUCUUCGUAAACGUCCCCACAAGCGUGACAAAAGGGGCACUUCUUACUUGAAGCAUGUUCACAGCCUCUACAUCGCAGUGGCGUACCUAGCGGGUGGGCCAUGGCACACUAGAAUUUUGGGACAUAUUUUUUUACCAUAUAAAAAUUAGCUGAUUUCCAUGGCCCAUCCAAGCCAAUUGAAAUAGAUCUCAUUGUUUUUUAAAAGUGUGCACACACUACAUUUUAUUUCUAGGUCCAUCACUGCUGCAUCGUUACGUUUAUAGAUGUAGUUUUAUUCGUCAAUCUUAUCCUAUAUUGGACUAAAAUUGGAUCAUAGCUGAUCACAUGCCUGGAACGUUGACGAACCGCUCUCUUAUGUACCAACAUUACUUAGGACCGAAUCGCAACUAUGAGUGUUGAUGCUUGAGCUAGUAGCUUCAUCCAUUCGUUCCUAUUGAAAUCGAUGUUGCAGUGAGUAACGGCGAAAUCGAUCCUACACCUUGCCCAACAACCAAACAAUGGUAGGAUGAAGGGUGGUUGUAUGGUGCUUAUCUCCAUGGCAGACGAUGAGGACGAAACGGAGACGACGACGAAGGGGACGAGCAGGCCGUGUAGCUGACGGAGAGUAGCAUGUCCCGAUGCUAGCAGAUCUUGGUCCACACUACCGCCGUUUCAGAGAACUGAGGUUGACUUUGUCCUUUAGCCAGAGGUGAACGAGUAAAGUGGAGUGUGACAACGUAUUUCACGCCAUACAACGGCUGCAGAUUUUCGUCUCGUGCCAGCUCCGUGCGUGCUCCCCAUGUUGUUUCCCUCUUGCGCUCGCCUCAGUCCAGCUCCACGAAAACGAUCGAUUCAAGAAUUCCCAGUGAGCGAGGAUAUGGGGCGCUUUGAGUUUCAUGCGCAUACGGACCAACACCUCACAUGAACAAUCAAAUAUGCUCUUUUUGUAUCCACUGAGCCCGUUUAGAGUUAGUGCGAGCAACAAAACACGCCCUAUACACGUUGUGUAGCGUAGUGCAUCAACGGCAAAUCUCGCGAGGUCAAAAGUUUUCACCCGCAACAGGCCAUUUGGUGCCAAAACCUUAAACAGACCUGCCAAGCUCAGAUUUCAUCCUUCCAGUCAUGCAUUAAUCGUGCUGCCAUCUCGGUAAAUUUUCAAUCAUCCACGGUGAAAAACAGUAACAACACUGGGCGAGUAAAAGUCGUCUCCGGAAGUGCUUCUGUACCGGGACGAGGACAAACAGCCGACACUGGAUCCCACGGCUUUCCCAUCCGAGCUUCACUCCGGUGCCGGCCACGGGAACUCGCACCGCAACAGGCCGAGCAAAGCCAUCAACUCCGCCAUUGAUUGUAGCACAGUUUCAGUCCACUGACUCAGCGAGGGCGGUGGACGAAAUAACUCAAUCCCUGACGCGUCACAUUCAGUUCGUACCGCUGCUUUCAGACGAGGAGUAACUGAACGGAGCAAGGCCCCAUCCCAUCGCGCUCGCUGUCUUGCACCGACGCACAUCGAUCGCGUGCCCCUUUCAUGCUCCCUCCCUCAAACUAUGCUCACACACAACACACCACUCUUGCUCGUUACAUUUACCCAUAGAAAACAGAAAAGAACAAGGAAAUUACUGGACAAACUUUACUGAUGCAUGAUGGUUCAUUAUUACAGCACAGCGACAUUUUUGCCGGCAAACCAGUAGCUAGGCCAGCAUUAUGCAUUAUCAACACACAGUAGGAUCAUGCACCGGACGCUCAAGAUCAUGAUUUACACGCAUAUAAUAUAUAGUGGUGAUCCGCGACAUAGUACGACAUGAUUGAUAGGGAUGCAUGAAGUUCAGGUACAUGCUAGGCAGGCGCCAUCAGCGGCGGAGGGUGGCUGGAGGGUGGUGGUGGAUCAUGGGCACUUGGGCCUCUUGCGCGCGCCGUGGCCGGUGGUCUUGUCGCGGUAGCAGGGGCACUCGUCCUUGUUGCCGGCCGUCCCCGACGGCACGCAGUUGCACUCGGCGCAGCAUAUCCCGCAGUACUUGAGGCAGUCGUCGUGCCGGCUCGCCUUGGAGCACCUCACCCCGCACUUGCCGUCGCAGAACGCUGCUCAAGAGCACACGCACCACCACGGUUAACAUCAACACAGGGAAGGGCCGAAGAACUUCAGCAUAAUGGCGAU